rnacentral:rRNA from 1 species
GACGUAGGAUGCGAGCGUUGUUCGGAUUUAUUGGGCGUAAAGCGUGCGUAGGCGGUCAUCUAAGUCUGGUGUUAAAGCUAGAGGCUCAACCUCUGUGUUGCACUGGAAACUGGAUGACUUGAGUGCGGUAGGGGAAGGUAGAAUUCCGAGUGUAGCGGUGAAAUGCGUAGAUAUUCGGAAGAAUACCGGUGGCGAAGGCGACCUUCUGGGCCGCAACUGACGCUGAGGCACGAAAGCGUGGGGAGCAAACGGG